rnacentral:misc_RNA from 1 species
GACAAAACCGACUGGGGAACUGAGGUAACAACCAAAACUUCAUAAAUCCUCUAGGUACAAAUUUUGCUCUCUUGAUUAAUGUUGCUUUUGCCCAUGCAGCUUGGCUGGAUUUAUGGCUCAAUUACAGAGGAUAUCCUUACUGGUUUCAAGAUGCAUUGUCGUGGCUGGAGAUCCAUCUACUGCAUGCCAAAGAGACCUGCAUUUAAAGGUUCA